rnacentral:lncRNA from 1 species
GAUCCCCCUCACCCAGAACAGGUACCACCUCCGAGUUUCUCACUCCGCAUAUCUACCUCGACCCCUUCGAAAGGGUCCCGGGACGGGUUUUCCACCGGUCCUGGGCGCGUGGCGCCGUUCCCGCGGUUGGAUCUUUCUUCACCACCCCAGCCUGCCAGGCAGGGACUCCCAGCGCGGGAGGCGGUCGCAGCAGGUCCCUUGGAAACGCCGAGUGGAGGGCUGCCCACACCCCUCUCCACGCAGCACAGAGGAUACUCGCUGGCAAACUUUCCUUGCUCUGACCCCGGCCGAGCGGGAACCCAGCACCUAUUUGGUUCCUGGAACGGACCGAGGUUCCCUGACAUUUUAGCAUCCCUGACAAGCCUCCUGAGGCUGCUACCCCUUCUGGACUCAAAAUAUGUAGGGGCCAAGGAUGAGAAAACCAGCACAUUUGAAAAUUGGAAAAUAAAGAGACCAGCAGGAUCAAGAGAAAAACAGGCAGUAUCUUCUGUUGGGCCAGAAGGUCAAGUCAGAUAUGUCUUCUCGGUUGUCUGGAAACACAGCUCAUGCCCAGGCUGGGGCGUUUAUCAGCACAGCAGUCUCUGUCUGCCUCGCUUCAGCCUCCUGACUGCAAUGAGGAAGCAGCAGGCACAACUGGGCUCCCACGGCAACCUAGACUUUAAGAAAUGUGUAUGA